AACCUGCGGAGGAUCAUUAUCGAGUUUUGAACGGGUUGUCUGCUGGCUCGCAAGGGCUUGCACGCCUGUCUCAUCCACUCUCAACUUCUGUGCACUUUUCAUAGGCCGGCUUGUGGGUGCGUUCGCGCACUUGUAGGUGUCGGGCUUAUGCUUUAUUACAAACGAUUCAGUUUUAGAUGUCAUACUUUGCUAUAACGCAAUUUAUAUACAACUUUCAGCAACGGAUCUCUUGGCUCUCGCAUCGAUGAAGAACGCAGCGAAAUGCGAUAAGUAAUGUGAAUUGCAGAAUUCAGUGAUCAUCGAAUCUUUGAACGCACCUUGCGCUCCUUGGUAUUCCGAGGAGCAUGCCUGUUUGAGUCUCAUGGAAUUCUCAACCUUCAGCUUUAUUGAUGAAGGCUUGGACUUGGAGGUCGUGCGGCUCUCGUAGUCGGCUCCUCUGAAAUGCAUUAGUGCGAACGUUACCAGCCGCUUCAGGUGAUAAUUAUCUGCGUUGCUGUGGAGGGUAUUCUAGUGUUCACGCUUCUAACCGUCUCGGACAAAUUUCUGAACUCUGAGCUCAAAUCAGGUAGGACUCCCGCUGAAC
rnacentral:rRNA from 1 species